rnacentral:rRNA from 1 species
UACGUAGGUGGCAAGCGUUGUCCGGAAUUAUUGGGCGUAAAGCGCGCGCAGGCGGUUCCUUAAGUCUGAUGUGAAAGCCCCCGGCUCAACCGGGGAGGGUCAUUGGAAACUGGGGAACUUGAGUACUGAAGAGGAAAGCGGAAUUCCACGUGUAGCGGUGAAAUGCGUAGAGAUGUGGAGGAACACCAGUGGCGAAGGCGGCUUUCUGGUCAGUAACUGACGCCGAGGCGCGAAAGCGUGGGGAGCAAACAGG